GGUCCCGUAGUUUAAUGGAUAGAAUGAAGGAUUCCGGUUCCUUUGAUGUGGGUUCGAGUCCCUCCGGGAUCA
rnacentral:tRNA from 1 species